rnacentral:rRNA from 1 species
AUACGGAGGGUCCGAGCGUUAUCCGGAAUCAUUGGGUUUAAAGGGUCCGUAGGCGGGAAUCUAAGUCAGUGGUGAAAUCUUGCAGCUCAACUGUAAAAUUGCCAUUGAUACUGGAUUUCUUGAAUUAGUGUGAAGUGGUUAGAAUGUGUAGUGUAGCGGUGAAAUGCAUAGAUAUUACACAGAAUACCAAUUGCGAAGGCAGAUCACUAACACUAUAUUGACGCUGAGGGACGAAAGCGUGGGGAGCGAACAGGAUUAGAAACCCGUGUAGUCC